ACGCUCGACACCUACGGGGGCAGCAGUGGGGGAUAUUGCACAAUGGGGGAAACCCUGAUGCAGCAACGCCGCGUGAGGGAAGACGGUUUUCGGAUUGUAAACCUCUGUCAUCGGUGACGAUAAUGACGGUAGCCGAUGAGGAAGCUCCGGCUAACUACGUGCCAGCAGCCGCGGUAAUCUGAGCGGGCUGGCAAGGC
rnacentral:rRNA from 1 species